rnacentral:tRNA from 2 species
UACCUCGUCGCCAAGCGGUAAGGCAAGGGACUCUGAAUCCCUCAUUCGUAGGUUCAAAUCCUACCGAGGUAGCCA